UCUGGAUCAUGGAGUCAGUCAAAUACAGAUGUUUGAGACAAUUGUUGUCUCACCACAACAGGAGUCAAUUCAUCAAGACCAGGGACGUGUGCUGCUUGUUCCUAGGUCACUCAGAAAUGACUCAAGCGUAUGAGAGAGCUGGCAGCAAGCAACACCUGCUCAAGUCCUCAAGCAGAAACCUAAGAACACCUAAUACGUAAAGGAAGUGGAGCUACAGUAGCAAUGGCAGAAACAGAGCCACAACUUUCAUGUGUAUGAGCCUAUGGACUAAACAAA